ACCUGGGAAUAAGUGACUAACUCUCGCCCAUGCUUUGUUUAUUGGAUUAGGAGACAAAUCUUCUAGGUAUUUACUCUUUUACCUCUAUCUUCUGAUGAAGAGGCAGGACUAUUCAUGAGCUGGAAGGAGAAUUCUGGGAAUAAGGCAGAAAGAAUGAGAAUAUUACAAGGGAUGGACUUGGCACCCCAUGGGAGACCAGGAGAAGCACCUGGCUCCUGCCAUCGGAUCAGCGCAGUGCGCCGGCCACAGCACGCCGGCCGCGGUGGCCAUUGGAGGGUGAACCAACGGCAAAGGAAGACCUUUCUCUCUGUCUCUCUCUCUCACUGUCCACUCUGCCUGUCAAAAAAAAUCCCAUUAGCAAGGAAUUUAUCAUUUAGGGGUCAGUUUCCCCAUUUGGCCUUAGGUUUUAAGGGAUAUUAGGAUUGAUGGGGAAAUUAGUGACAUCUUUUAAAGGGAUCUUGUUAGGGAUAGCAUGGGUGACUCACUCAGGAAUGUCCUGAUCCCAGACCUGAGUUUUUACUUCACAUUGAACCUCAACAGGGAGGUUUUUGAGGCAAGGUGCUGUCUUGGCUAAAGGGUUAGAAAAUAACGAAUUUCUGCCAAGCAGAGAUGUCAGACAUUCUGGCAUCAUCAGAAACUGGUGAGAGUCCAAAACAUUUUCUAUUUGACAGGCAAGAUGAAAUAUCAGGAACAAGGCUUACCACAGAUUCUCAUCAUGGUGGAACUUUCAGAGAACAGAGGUCCUGUGUGGGAAAUCAAAACAGAAAAAGUGGCUGCCUCCCAAUGACGAAAUCAGUGUUCUUACCUGCAGCACCAAGGUCACUCACGGCUCCAGAGUGAGACAGUUAUAUGAGCCACCUACGUUCCUAAGCCCCUUCAGUCCUCAGACAGGGAUCAGACAGGGACUUAAGGGAACCAAGAGUCUUCUCUCUCCUUUGGAGUUAAAGGCAAUCCUGUUUCCAGUGUCCCUCUUGUCAUCCAGGACAUGGGUGGGGUGGCCCUUUUAAGUGAGGACAUUAUUUGCACCAAUGUCCUAGCUUACCACAUCUGAAACAUCCUCCCUGGGUUUUCUUACCCAUGUUGAAAUGCCCCUCAGGGUGGCCAUGGGGUUUCAGGGCGCUGGUUACAGCAGUUGCUUUGUGGAGCAUGCUGCUUGAACUGCUGCUUCCUGAAGCCGCUCUCCCUUCAUCUUGCCUCCAUUAUUAAAUAUCCCCAAAGCUAUAGCUCGUAUCUGUGCAUGGGAGUUUAGGGUCAAACUACUUACUUUUGAAGUCUUCUCCAAAAAUCUGGGGCUGAUUGAUGAAAUAGGUACUGAGCAAGACCUGUAACUCAGAAGUGCUGGGAUCCAUUAGUAUGUUUCUUUAAGUCCACUCACUAUGAGUUGUCCCUGUAAUAGUGCUAGAUUUUCUUCAUUAUAAUGGGUCCACUUGCCUAAUUUUGUCACAAUUUAUAGAUUUGAUAAUACGUUUUUUCAUGCCAGCCACCAUGCAGGUGACCACAUGUUGUCAACAUCCUGGUUCAUAAUGACCUCUUUGAUAGUUUCAGGUAGGGUCUGUUGUUGGAAACACUGUAGCUCCCACAGCAUUUUCGUCAAAUUGGUGAGCUGCCAAGAAUUCAGCAUUGGCUUCAGCCUCAGCCCAGAUUUACUAUUUCUCCUCUGGAGUGAAACAGGAGGAUAUAACAAUAUGUUGUAAAUUCUGCCAGUUCCUCCGAGACAACCAUCAGCUUGAAAUUGGAACCACUUGAAUCUGUACAAACGAGAGGAAGCAUAACAUCACCCUGAGACUAGGGGAACCGUGUUACUCAAUCUGGAGCAACAUUGCAGCCUUCCAAGAAGAGAGACAACAGAGGUUAAAGUGCCUGGCAGAGAAGCUGCUCCAACACAAGCGAGGAAGAGUGGACAGUGAGAGAGAGAGACAGAGAGAAAGGUCUUCCUUUGCCGUUGGUUCACCCCCCCCAUGGCUGCUGCAGCCAACGCACUGCGCUGAUCCGAAGCCAGGAGCCAGGUGCUUCUCCUGGUCUCCCAUGAGGGUGCAGGGCCCAAGCACUUGGGCCAUCCUCCACUGCAUUCCCGGGCCACAGCAGAGAGCUGGCCUGGAAGAGGGGCAACCGGGACAGAAUCCAGCACCCCGACCAGGGCUAGAACCCAGGGUGCCGGCGCUGCAGGCGGAGGAUUAGUCUAUUGAGCUGCGGCACCAGCCAGUGUAAUCUUCUCUAGAGUCUCUAGAUCAAAAUUCAGCCCACAUGGCACCUUGUCUUCAGCUGAGUCUUGUUGCACCCAGAUUUCUGACCCACAGUGUUAUGAGAUUUAAAAAAAUGUGUGUUCAUACUGUAAAUCUCAGAUAAUCUGUUAUUCCAAUAGAAAAUGAAUUCAGCAAGCAUCCCAUUUGAUACAAGAAACUGCUGAUUAUUUAGUACUAAUUAUGAUGGACUACCAAUCUAGAAGUCUCAGAAAUUUUAUUGUUGUUGUUAUUAUUAUUGUUAGAACAGGUUUCAUGUAGUUCAUAGAUAAAAUUCUAAGAACAUAAAAAAAGAACACAGUGGUAUCCUGUAUCUUCUUAAAUCUGUGACCAUCCCUCUGCAUCUUGGCAUUUUCCUUCAUGCUGCUUGAGGUCAACUCAUUCCCAGAUAAAGAAAAUACAAAAUAAAAGGACAAAUUUAUGUUAUUCAGUUUUAUACCCAUUACCUUCAGUAAAAUGUUGAGAGAAAGACAAAAUUUGAAGCUGUUGAGUAGUGUGAUGUUUCUGGAUUACUUUAAGAUUUUAAAUUAGUUGCUUCCCAUUCUGCUUUCCCAUAAACAACCAAUGUGUGCUAGGCUGCAACAUUGCAAUCACAAAAUCUAGGAAUUGUGAGAGCUCAUUAGCUUACAUCUGAAAGUGUUUUCUUGAUAGAUUUCUGUAAAGACUUUUUAAGUGUCCCGUCUCUUUUGUGUAAGUCAGUGGUCAGCAGCCAAAUCCAGCACACUACCUAUUUUUAUAAAGCUUUAUUGUAUCACGCCUCACCAAUUAAUUUCUUUGUUGUGUAUGACUGUCCCCUUGCUGCAGUGGCAGUACUGAGUAGUUGGCAGAGGGUCUCUAUAGAUCCCAAAGCCUAAACUAUUUGUUUUCUGGUCCUUGUUAACCUUGACCUGGGACACUCUACUUAGCUUCUAUAAUCCUCAGUUUGCUCAUGUGUAACAUAGGAUAAUUCUUGGAUUACUGAGUUUUUGUAAAGAUUAAAUUAAGCAGUGAUUAAUGGAGCGAUGAAUAUAGACCAAAACAUAUUAAGUCUCUCUGUUAGGCCAUUGACCCCACUUCUCUUUAAAUAUAUUGCUUUCCCUCCAUAUUUCUCCAGCUUGACUCAAAUCCUGUUUUCUAUCCAUCAUCUCUACCAGCUCUACUUGUAAGCAACAGGCAUAUUUCUCUCCCAUAAAAGAAAUACUUAUGAUCCAUCUUUAAAAUUGUAUCUUUUACAGUUGUAUCUGCUUUUUUGAUAUAUAACUAUACGUUCUGAACAUAUUUUCACAAGAAAAUGAAAAUAUAUUUCAUUAUCAAUAAUUUCAGAUAGGAAGGUAUCUUCUGACACUAGCCAAAUAUCUUAUGAGACUGCAAAUAACAUGACAAGUAGUUGAUAAAAUUAGACUUCUGCCUCUAAAUUUCCAUCUUACAAUACUCCUUUACUCCCUUUAGAAACCUGGGCCUUCUCAUCUUUCAUCCCCUGCCUCUAUGAAAUUCUUCUACAAAUUCUGCUGGUUCUCUCUCUCAAGUGUAUUUCAAACUUCUGUGUUUAUUUCCAUCUCCAUGACCAAACAUAUGAACACUCUCCGCACAGUCUGUUCCCUCUCGUCCUUUGGUCUCAGCUUGAGUAUCACUUCUCAGAAAAGACCUCUGACCACAAAUCCAACACAGUCUUUUAAAAAAACUUCUUGUAGCGUCCUAUUAUUUUCCUUCAAGAAUUUAUAAUGAUAUUUAGAUUUGUUUAUUCAUUGACAAUUAGUUUCUCCCCAGUGAAUAACCUCUGUGUGAGCAAGAACAUGUCUCUUUUGUUCACUUCUCUAUAUAUUCCCUGGCUCAUAAUUGACACUCAAUAAACAUUCGUCUUGGGAGUGAAUUAAAGACCAGACUUAUUUAAAUCAAGAAUGAAAUGUGAUUACAUGCUGCUUUAUCGCCUUAAAAUAAAAAUUCACUCAAGGUGGUAGAACUUGCAAAUCAGUCAAGUAGAAAAGUAUCAUGUUGGAAAAAGUAGUGAUAUAACGCACAAGUCUCAGAUUCACAAUUACCAUAAUUAAAUUAUUCAGUUAACUGAAUCGACUCAAUCAAAAGAAGGGCCCAUGUGUUGAUGCAGCCUUGACUUAUGGAAUAUUAAUAUGAGACUGAUAACAGUAAUAACAAUUAAUAUUUCUGCACCUGCUAAAUGCAACAUACAGUAUAUACCAAAUGUUUUACAUAAAUUUGCUUCCUUUAAUUCUCACAAUACCUUUAAAUAUUAUAUUUCCAUUUUGAUAUGAGAAGCUGAAGCUUAGAAAGAGUUAAAUAAAUUCCCAGAGAGAUAUAAUAAAUAAAAAAUUUGGCAGUAGCUGGCAUCGUGGUAUAGCUGGAUAAUCUUCAGCAUCCUCCACUUCCAAUCCAGCUUCCUGCUAAUCUGCCUGAGAAAGCAAUGGAAGAUGACCCAAGUGCUUGGGCCCUUGCCACCCACAUGGGAGAUCCAGAUGGAGUUCCAGGCACCUGGCUUUGGCCAGCACAGCCUUGGCUAUUGAAGCCUUUUGGGGAGUGAACCAGCAGAUAGAAGAUCUGUUUCUCUCUGUGUAACUCUGCAUUCUAAUUAAAAUAAAAUAAAUAGAUAAUUGGGAAAAGAUUAGGGGACCCACAGCAAAUGUUCAGCUCUGUUAUCUAGUCAAAGCAGCUUCCUGUACCUGGACAUUAAUUUUCUCAUCAGCAAAGUAGUACCAGACUAGGUGCUAACACCCCUUCACCUCUGGUAUUUUGGGACUGUGUUUGGCAUCUGCUUAUUUCUCAGUUCCCAAGGUGAAGCCACCUAACAAAACAGGGAUGAGAAAGUCCAAGUUCUCAGGGGCAGAAACAGUGGCUUAUUCAUCUGUCUUCAGGCGUGAAGGUCAAGGAGAGGGUGGGGAUUUGAGUCUGCACACUGGUAUGGGAGACUAAAUAAUGUACUCUGCUCCAUCCCCAGAAAGAGACCCAUACCCUACUACCUGGAUCCUGAGAAUAUGUUAUGUUACAUACAAAAGUGACUUGCCAAAGUACUUAAGACUAUAAACCUUAUAUAGGUUACUGUCUGGGUCAGCCAGGUCUAAUCAUUGGAGCCCUUAAAAGCAGACCGCUCCAGCUAGCAUGAGAAGAGAUAAGGUAGAAGGAACAGAGACAGAGAGAUUCAGAUCACAAGAUGCUCAGUCUUCUGUAGCUGUCUUUAAAGGGGACAGAAGCAAGGGAACACAGGCAACCUCUAGAAACUGAGAAUGAGCCCUGGCUGACAGCCAGAUGGGAAAUAAGGUCUAUGUUCCAAACAAACAGAACCGAGUCCUCCCAACAACAGGAAGGCGCCUCAAAAAGGGAUUCUCCUGUAGCAGCUUCGGAAAUGAAUACAGCCCAGCUGCCACUACGAUUUGAUUCUGGUCUAUGGAGACGCUGUCAACAAACCAACCAAGCCAAGCUGUGAUUGGAUUUAUGACCUCCCGAGACACGAGAUAAACUUCUGUUGUUCUAAGCUUCUAAGUUUCUGGUAAUUCAUAAUUCUCAGUACACACUUAGCCUUUGUAGUCACAGACCUGAGUUUGAGUUCUAACCACACUCCUGUUGUUGGAAUUUCUGAACAUUGUAUCCAGGUGGAGGAUUGAUAAUUCAAUUCUCUUUUCAUUUAAGUGCACAAGCAAAGUUCCUGGCUCUUUACUUUCUUGUCAAACCUCUUGACUACCAGUCUCGGUGACCACCUGUGCAUGUUAAGCCUCUGGCUUUUAGAUUUCUGCUUCCAAAAUAUAAGCAACCAGAUUUGUCGUCAUGCCAACCUAUAUAAAAGAUUGAAAAAGAAGCGAGAAAAAAGUAGUUUCAGAUAUUAAGCAAUACAUGCGAUGGGACAGGGAUCGCCAAGAGAAGGGAAACAAGUGAAAUAAAACUAUGAAUGCCCCAGAUCACUGCGUGGAAGGGUUUCAAGGCCAGAGCACAGGAAGCAGUACACCAGCAGAGCCCAGUGGUCUCCUGUUGUUGAAGAGACAACAUUCAGAGUUUGGGGAGACCGAGUCAGCUAGAAUUUGUGUGCCAGGGUCCUGGAGAGGACAGACUCAUAAACAGAGAACAUCACAGAUCCACAAAGAUCCCCCCUUCUUCAGCAGAAGGCGACUCAGAACAUAAGGCCCUGGCAACCUCACUGGAGGCGACCAAGGAGAGUAAUCUCUGGAGCUCACAGAGCUGGAGCGAUUGGAGUCCUCACCAAUCAGAGCACAAAGAACGCCUACCACAGAGAAGGCAGGCUCAUCAGGUUAGCAUUGCCUUGGUAGAGAGGCAAAAUUAACAGUAGGCAAAAGGCAGCUCUGGACCUACCCGAUAAAGCUUACCUUACCUUUGAAAGGUCAAAAUAUUUCUGAGUAGCUUAACUGUGUUCAAGAGCAAAGACCAAAAAAUACUGAGGAAUAUUAAAAAAAAAAAAAAAAACCUCAUCAGUCAUCCACUGUAAAAUUCAUGAUCUCUGCCACCGAUUAAAAAAUUAUCAGACACAGGUGCGGGGAAAGAUGUAGCUACCUCUUUUCCGAACGGCCCCCUUUGCCUCUGGACUUCUCUGAGGAGAAGCAGCCGCCUGACUCGGGCCCGAGGCCACGGGCUCUGCUGGCGAGCAUGGGUUCCGCGUGGGACCAGCAGUAUGCGGGUGGCUGCACCAAGGCGGCGGUAAAGGCACUGGAGGACGCAGCCUGGGGCCAUGGACGAGUCGCAGCUGCUGCACCGUGCUGGAUCUGAAAGCGGUUCAGCGCGCACCAGGGGUUAGGCUUCUGGUCCAUGACCACCCGCGUUGGGGUCUCUCUCAACGCCCCCACACCCACCCCUUCCCGCAACGGUGGACCUCUUUGUGCACCAGAGUAAGCUGCACACGGAGGGCUUCCGGAGCCUGAAGGAGAGUGAAGCAGUGGAAUUCACCCUAAGAAGUCCACCAGGGGCCUCGAGUCCAUGCGUGUCCCCAGGCCUGGGGGUAAGGGGGUCUGUACUGGGAACCAGCGGCGGCUAAAGGGGAGGAACACGCAGAAGCGCAGCUCUAAAGGAGACAGGUGCUACAACUGUGGCGGUCUAGCCCAUCGUGCCAAGGAGUGCAAGCUGCCUCCCUCACCCACUUCUGCCAGAGCGCCAGCCCUAUGGUGGCCUCGUGCCCCGGAAGGCCCGGCAGGCCCCCACCUCCCAGGGGGAAGCCAGCCUACUUCCCGGAGGAUGAAGAAGAGGGCCACAGCCCUGCCCUGCUCCCCGCGACCCAGAGUGGAGUGGCUGGGGGCUGUUCUUGUGCUAUCGGGAAGUUUCAAGGAGCAGGCUUCAAGAGAGGAGUGGAGAAAGUGGGGGCAGGGUGGGCUGGGGGGAGCUGGCACUGCCGUGUGUCUCAGAUUGGGGCUCACAGCAUCACCCCUUUAACCGUCUUGCUGGGAGGAAGGAGUGAGGCAAGGAAUUCCAGCCAUGCUGCAUCCAAAUGCAAAUAAGGGGUUGGGGACAUCACCCUGUAGCCUGCAUGCUUUGUCUGAGACCUUGUAUGCAAAACCUCCAGCUUUAGGAGGUCCCUGGAUGGGAAAGUUGUUUUCCUUUCAAAGAAGGACAUGGAAUAAUAUUCCCCUCACCAGGAUGAAAAGAUGGGUUGUGGGACCAGAACUGGACCCAACCCCCAAACCACUACAUCAUGUGGGAGGGACUCUCUCAGGAGUAGGCAGGGUUUUCCACAUCUUGUGUUCUCAAAACUCCAUCCUGGGACAGGGUGCUGGGAACUGUCCCAACUGCCACUUUUGCUUCAUAUAGCAGAUCCAGUCUUCAUCGGAUUAGGCCACUAUGCACAACUGUGUGUGUGUGUGUGUGUGUGUGUGUGUGUGAAAAAUGUGAGCUGGUAAGGAUGCGUUUGAAGACCAAUACCCCUGAACCCAUUCUGUGCUGUCCAGGAAUAGAAACAUGAAACAAGGACUAAAAUCCUUAACCUUCCCAAAUUCUUGGCUUCCAGGGAGAGCUUGGUGGUGUCCGGAGCCAGUGGCCCACCCUGUGACAAGCAGUGAUUACUAGUGCAGUGAUUAAAGGAGAAAAAGGGGGUUUCAAUUACAUGCUGAGAGGUCACUGCAAACCUACCUCCCUGUGUUGAUAAGGGACAAACGCAGUAGAAUGCACUGGGUGAUGUGUGUCUGGUCCUGGGUUCCCGUCUCCCCCUUUGGUUACUGUAUUUGUCUCGGCUUUGUAGGACUUCACUGAGACUCUGAGUUGGUGAUUGCUAGGUGGCCCAGUUUGUGUAAAUGUAGCAUGUGGGUCUUUCUCCAUGUUCUUUUGUGGUUUUAUUGUUCACAAACUUCUCUGUGUUUUGAGAGAAAAACAGCUGAAACACCUUGGGCAGAAGAGUCUGCACCAGGCAAAAGGCUCUGAAACAUGAGUUUUGGGGAGCUCACUUCUUGAAUGGGGAUCUUAAACCAUCUUUUCUUUUGUGUUCCCCUUCCUCUAUCCUAUUUUGAACCUUCUGUCCUUAAAAUUUGACUCCUACCCUAUCUGUUCUCCAUCCCUCCAUCCACAAAAGUAAACCCACACAUGAACAUCUAAUUCUUGGAGUGUCUCCACACAUCUAAAGGAUUCAUGCAACAAUCCUGAAGAAAAUGGGAAACCUCCACCCCUCGUUCCCAGCCUCCUGAUUCAAGACCACUUCCUGAUGUGAUUCGUGCCAAAGGCUUACCACACUGAUGUGUUGGGAUGGAUCAGUCCCCUCAAUUGUCUCCUAAAGAAGAGGUGCUACUGGGAAACUUCUGUGUGCAAAGUGGGGUGUGGAGACCAAGGAGGAGAUGAUGAAUGUGCAUCCAAGUCACGCAGGAGCUUUUAAGCAGGUGCGAGAAACUUCUGUCAAAGCGACCACAAGACUGUUUGAUAGGAGACGGGUGACUGUCACUCCCUUCACUGCUAGAAACCAAAGCUGUGUGUGGAAUCUUGAGUUCAUGGGGUGGGGGUGGGGGGCUGCGUGUCUGUUCUUUCUCUGACCCCUUCCCCUCGUUGCCGAACUGCAGGAUACUAAGCUCCUUGGGCUUUGGAGACCCCAUCACUGGGGUGUGUUUAUUUGAAGGUUCAUUGUUGCUGUAUUGGGUACUUCCUUACCCACUUUCUAGUCACUUUGUAAUACAUAUGCUGAUUCUCCCCAUGUUUUCUCCUUUGCCUUGGAAAAUAUAAUGAAUAAAUCAAGAUUUAUUGGUACUGAACAAAAGUUAUCAGACAUAAGAAGCAGGAAAUACAACCCAUAUUAAAAAGAAAAAAAUCAUUAAUUAAAAACAGAUUCAAUAACUAUGCAGAUUUUAGAUGUCUUAUACAAGGACAUUAAAACAAUAUUUUAAAUACAUUUUUAUGGACAAAAAGAAGGGAGUUGGCAUUAUGGUGUAGCUGGUACAGCUGGCAUUUUUAAUGCAGGCAUCCCGUAUGUGUACAACUUCAGGUCCCUGCUGGCCACUUGUUCUCCAUCUUCCUGCUAGUGGCCUAGGAAAAGAAGCAGAAGGUAGCUCAAGUGUUUGGGUCCCUGCCACACAUGUGAGAUACCUGGAUGAAGCUCCUGGCUCCUGGCUUUGGCCUGGCCCAACCCUGGCCAUAGCAGCCAUUUAGGGAGUGAACCAGUGGAUGGAAGACCUCUCUCUCUCUCUCUCUCUCUCUCUGUCUCUCUCUCUAAUUCUGCCUUUCAAAUAAAUCUUUAAAAAAAUUCAAAAAGAAGGGCUUCAUCCUAUUUUAUGGCUGAAUAAUAUUCCAUUGUGCAUAUGUACCACAUUUUAUUUAUCCAUCUGUCAGUGGAUGUACACUUAGGUUGUUUCCAUUCUUAGCUAUUGCAAUAAACAUAGGGGUGCAGUUAUCUUGUCAAUAAACUGAUUUCAAUUGCUGGAUCAUGCGGUAGUUCUACUUUUUGGUUUUUGGGGGAACUGCCAUCAUGUUUUCCACAGUUGCCAUAUUAAUUUCCAUUCCAACCAGCAGUGUGCAAGGGUUCCCUUUUCUCUGCAUCUUCACAAUAUUUGUUAUCUUUUGUCCUUUUGAUGAGAGCCAUUCUAACUGGGGUGAGACAGUAAUUCACUGCGGUUUUGAUUUGCAUUUCCCUAAUGGAUAGUGAUGCUGAGUGUCCUUUCACAUACCUGCUGGCCAUCUGUGUGUCUUCCUUUGGGAAAUGUCUGUGUAAAUCUGCUAAUCAUUUUAAAAUUAUUUACUUAUUGCUAUUGAGUUGUUUGAGAAGAUGUAUUCUGGUUAUUAACUCUUUGCCAGAUGUAAAAAUUGUAAAUAUUUUCUCAAAUUCUGCAGGCCGUCUCUUUGCCGAGUGCUUCCUUUGCAGUACAAGGCUCUUUACUUUGAUAAUAUCCCAUUUGUCUAUUUUUGCUUGUUUCCUUGCCUUUGGGGUUUGGUGCUAGAAAUCCUUACCCGUGCCAAUGUCUUGAAGCAUCUUCCCUAUGUUUUCUUCUAUUAGUUUCAACAUUCCAAGUCUUACAUUUAGGUUUUUAAUCUAUUUUGAGUUGCAAGUCAAGUAUUUUAAAGUUAUGGAAAUUAACUAAAGGUAAAAACCAUAUUGGAAAGCAUUCCUUCAAGAAAAUCGUUGCAUUUCGUAAGGAGAGUGGGGAUCUGUGGCGUUUUAACUCAGAGCUAUUCCCACCCGCACACCGCAGCAGCACCAGGGUCCAGCUGUGAAGCGCUGGAAGCCGCCGAAGGGGAUUGACCUGUUUGAAGCUUUGUGAGAAGCCUCACUCUCCGAGCACUGUCAAUAUUUUGACACUGUUUGCUUGACUUGAAGAUCACUGUCUUUGCAUCGUCUUCCCCACGGGCAUGUCUCUUACAGAUUUCCUUUUCUUAGAAGAGGAGCAAUCAUGUCGGAUUAGGGCCAGCUAGAAUGACUGCGUUUCUGUUUAGUUACCUCUUCAGAGACUGUUUCCAAAUACAGUCACAGUAGGAGUAUUAGGAGGGGUUAGCAUGUCACCAUAUGACUUUUAUUUGGAGGGGAUGCAGAGGUAGAAUUUAGCCUAUAACCAAGACCCUGGUCAGAAGCCCGAGAGGAAACUUUGGAAAACAGAAAUUAUGACCGCAGGGAGCUUUAAGCUCUGACAUGUUCCUGGUGAUCUAGAAGGCUGCACAUACUACACAGGGCCAGGGAAAACCAGAGGGGGCCCCAGUCAUUCAUAUUUGGAAACCUUUCAGCCCUGUGCAGUAAGAUGUGAACGCUAAGGCAGACUGCCUCAGAUUUGAAGAUGUGCCUUCUCACAAAUCGCCGUGGCAAAAGGCAGAUGACAUAGUGCGUCAAGACACUAAGGCAGUCUUUUUAAAAAAAGAUUUAUUUAUUUAUAUGAAAGGCAGAGUUACAGAGAAGCAGAGGCUGAGAGAGAGAGAGAGAGAGAGAGAGAGAGCGAGAGAGCGCUUCCAUUUGCUUGUUCAUUCCCCAGAUGAUCACAAUGGCCAGAGCUGUGGGAGCUGAGCUGAUCUAAAGCCAGGAGCCAAGAGUUUCUUCUGGGUCUCCCACGUGGGUGCAGGGGCCCAAGCACUUGGGCCAUCUUCUACUGCUGUCCCAGGCCACAGCAGAGAGCUGGAUCGGAAGUGGAGCAGCCAGGACUAGAACCGGAGCCCAUACAGGUGGCAGGUUUUAUCUGCUGUGCCAGAGCGCUGGCCCUCCCCCCCCUUUUUAAAAAUCAAUGUCUGAUCACUAAACAAUGCUGACCAAGGACUGGUCCCUAAGAAGAUAAUCUUGAGGAUAAAGACAAGAAUUUUUAAAUAGUGAUCAGAGAACCAGAGAACUCAGAUGCUGCACAUUUCAGUAAAUACAGAAUAUACAGAACUUGUCCAGGAACGUCAAGAAACAAAGACCAACCAUAAGGAUUUUUGUAAAGCUAGCUAGAUCAAGUGAUUCUGCAAUGCACACAUAUUUCAAAACAUCAUAUUUACAUGAUAAAUAGACACAGUUUUAUUUGUCAGGUUUAAACCAAAACCAAUGCUGGUUUUGAGUCCCAGUUCUGCUUCUGAUUCCAGUUUCCUGUUAGUGCACAUGCUGGGGGGCAGAGGUGGUGGCUCAAAUGCUUGGGUCCCACCCACCCACAUGGGAGACCCAGAUUGGGUUCUGGAUUUCUGGCUUUGGCCCGGCCCAGCCCUAGGUGCUUUGGGCAUUUAGGGAGUAAAUCAGCAGCCAGAAGGUUUAUGUCUGUCUCUGUCUUGUUCUGUCUCCCUGUCUUUUAAAGAAAUUUAAAAUAAAUAAAUUUUUAAAAUAAAAGAUGCCAUGUUAAUUGGUCAAAGAAAAGUAUAAAAACUAUGUCUCGAGCCGGCACUGCGGCUCACUAGGCUAAUCCUCCGCCUUGCGGUGCCGGCCCAUUGGGUUCUAGUCCAGGUCGGGGCGCUGGAUUCUGUCCCGGUUGCCCCUCUUCCAGGCCAGCUCUCUGCUGUGGCCAGGGAGUGCAGUGGAGGAUGGCCCAAGUGCUUGGGCCCUGCACCCCAUGGGAGACCAGGAGAAGCACCUGGCUCCUGCCAUCGGAUCAGUGCAGUGCGCUGGCCGCAGCAUGCCGGCCACGGCGUCCAUAGGAGGGUGAACCAACGGCAAAGGAAGACCUUUCUCUCUGUCUCUCUCUCUCACUGUCCACUCUGCCUGUCAAAAAAGAAAAAAAAAAAAAACAAUGUCUCAUUAAAUAGAAAUGAUUGUAAAUGGAAACAAAUUUAAAAAGCACCAAAUAGUGUUCAUUGCAGCACAAUUCACAAUAGCUAAGAUAUGGAAUCAACUCAGAUGUCCAUCAACUGUUGACUGGAUAAGGAAACUAUGGUAUACAUACACUACAGAGUACUAAUCAACUAUAGAAAAAAAAAAGAAAGAAAGAAAAGAAACGAAUCCUGUCUUUUGCAAGAUGGACACAACUGGAAACCAUUAUACUUAGUGAAAUAAGCCCGCCCCAAAAACACAGAUAUCAUAUGUUUUCCCUGAUCCAAUGUAAUAGAGCACCUGAAAUGUAAUGUACUGGAGUGAAAUAGACAUUUUUGAGAUUCAGUGAUUGUUUAUAGCCCUCGUCUCUCCUGUUAAGGAACAGUGUUUUAUUUUUUUUUUUUCUCUUCAUACUAUUUGUUGAACUCUUUUAAUUAGAGUAGGGUUAACUACAUAUGAUCACUAAGUAUACUGAAAGCAGGUUUUUAUAAAAAUUGAGUGGGGGGGCCAGCACCGUGGCGCAGUAGGUUAAUCCUCUGCCUGCAGUGUUGGCAUCCCAUAUGGGUGCUGGUUCUAGCCCUGACUGCCCCUCUUCCAAUCCAGCUCUCUGCUGUUGUCUGGGAAAGCAGUGGAGGAUGGCCCAAGUGCUUGGGCCCUGCACCCACAUGGGAGACCGGGAGGAAGCUCCUAGCUCCUGGCUUCAGAUCAGCGCAGCUCUGGCUGUUGCAGCCAUCUGGGGAGUGAAGCAAUGGAAGGAAGACCUCUCUCUCUGUCUCUACCUCUCACUGUCUGUAACUCUACCUCUCAAAUAAGUAAAUAAAAUCUUUAAAAAAAAAUUGAGUGGAAUGUGAGAGGGAGGAGAAGGAAGGGUUGGAGGGAGGGUAAACGGAGCAUUGUCACUGUGUUCCUAAUCUGUAUAUAUGAAAUAUAUGAAACUUGUAUAAUUUAAAUAAAUUUUUAAAAAGCACCAAAUAGAAUUUUUAGAAUUGAAAAGUACAAUACAAAAUCACCAUAUGAAUUAAACAGUAGUUUUAGCUGAGAGAAGAAAGAAUCAGGAAACUUGAAGAUAGGUCAGUGGUGAUUAUGAGUCUGAGGAACAAAAAGAAUAAAAAAUGAGGAAAGGGGCCAGCACUGUGGCAUAGUAGGUUAAUCCUCUGCCUGUGGUACCAGCAUCCCAUAUGGGCGCCGGUUCGAUUCCUGGCUGCUCCUCUUCUGAUCCAGCUCUCUGCUAUGGCUUGGGAAAGCAGCAGAAGAUGUUCCAAGCGCUUGGGCCCCUGCACCCAUGUGGGAGACACGGAAGAAGCUCCUGGUUCCUGGUUUCAGAUCGGACCAGCUCCCACAGCUCCGGCCCUUGCAGCCUCUGGUUAGUGAACCAGCAGAUGGAAGACCUCUCUCUCUGUCUGUACCUCUCUCUGUAACUCUGCUUUUCAAAUAAAUAAGAUAAAUCUUUUUAAAAAAAGUUCUAAAGGAAACACCAAUGACUGUGGUGAAACAAACUUCAUAAUAUGACACAAAAUAUGAGCUAUUAAAGAAAAUAUUCAUACUUAUAUAUUUGCCUUUAUCAAAAUUUAAAAGUACACGCUUCAAAAAGUCACUUAAAGGAGAAAUUAUCUCAAACAUAUAUCCAAAAAAAGGACUUAUAUCUAGAAUAUAAAAGGUAUUUAAUAAGACAGAUGACUAAUUUUUUAAGUAAAAAAUAUAUAUAAACAGAUGUUUCAUCAAGGAAACUUACAGAGAGCAAAGCAGAGCAUGAAAUAUGCUCACCAUCAUUUGUCUUUAAGAUAACACAAUUAAAAUGAAAAUGAGACACACCAAUAUAACUCCACUAGGAUAGUUAAAAUUUAAAAGACCAAACCAAGUGCUGACAUGGAUCUGGAGCAACUGGAGGUCCCAUACAUUGUUAGGAAUGUAAAAAGCAAUCUCUGUAGAAAACCCUAUGACUCGGUAAGUCUAUUUUUGGAUAUUUACCCAAGAAAAAGUAUCCGUCCACCUAAAGACUAGCACAUGACUAUUUCUAGCAUCUUCAUUUGUAAAGCCAAAAAAUCAUACACAGCUCAGAUGUUGACCAAUAGGUUAAUGGUUAAACAAGUCAUGGUAUAUUAUAUGAGGAUACUUUAAAAGAUUUUAGAGGGGGCAGCGCUGUGGCACAGUGAGUUAAAGCCCUGGCCUGAAGUGCUGACAUCCCAUAUGGGCGCCGGUUCUAGUCCCGGCUGAACCACUUCCAAUCCAGCUCUCUGCUAUGGCCUGGGAAAGCAGUAGAAGAUGGCCCAAGUGCUUGGGCCCCUGUACCCACGUGGGAGACCCAGAAGAAUCUCCUGGCUCUUGGCUUCAGAUUGGCACAACUCCGGCCAUUGUGGCCAUCUGGGGAGUGAACCAGCGGAUAGAAGACCUCUCUGUCUCUAUAUCUCUCUGUAACUCUGUCUUUCAAAUAAAUAAAUUAAAUCUUUAAAAAAAGAUUUUAGGAAAUGAAAUUAUACGAUGUUUAUUUUGAUGCAAAAAUUUGAAAGCCAUGCAUAUUUUUUCAUAAAUACAUUUCCAUGAACUUUUUAAAAACCAUACAUAUACAUGGAUUUCAAAGUUUUUUGUACCAAAAUAACUUACCUUUUAAUUAUAUUUCCAUGUGCUCUUUGAAGUACAUUCCUACAACAGAACGCUAUUAUAAAAAAGAAGGAGAAAAAGGAAAGUACAAACUAUAUAUGCAACAACAUGGAUGAAUCUCAAAAUAAUUUUUGUUGAGCGCCAGAUUUUCAAAAAUAUAAAGUGGUACAUGAUUCCAUUUAUUUAAAAUUCUAAAAGAAGAAAAAUACUAAUAUAUUGUGGCAGAAAGAUCGGGGUAGGCACUGUGGUGCAGUGGGUUAAACCACUGCUUGGGAAGCUCACAUUGUGCACGUUAGAGAGCCUGGGAUCGAAUUUCACCUCUGCUGCUGAUCGGCUUCCUGCAGUUGACCUGGGAGGAAGCCAGAUGAAGGUCUAAUUGUUGGGUACCAGCCAUGUAGAAGAUCCAAAUGAAGUUCCUGGUAUCUGGCUUCAGCCUGGUCUAUCCCUGGUGUUGCAGGCAUUUGGGGAAUGAACCAGCAGACAAAAGAGCUCUGUCUUUGUCUCUCCCUCUCUCUGUCACUCUGCCUUAUAGAUAGAUAGAUAUUAAAAGAAAAAGGAGGUUUGUGGUUGCCUGUGAAUUGUGGAGAAUGAUUGGGGCACAAGGAACCCUUCAGUGAUGCUGGAAAUAUCCACUAUCUCAAUGCAAUGAUGACUUCAUUGGUCUAUACAUAUUUUAAAAUUCAGUUGUUCACUUUAAAUGCAUGCAGCUUAUUGUAUAUCAAUUUACUUCAAUACAGCUAUUAAAUAAAGUUCCUUCCUUUGACUUGAAAGCCAACUUGAAAAGGCUGGUGUAGUGACAGUGGAAAUAAGUAGCCAUUUAGCAAAUAAGCAGUAUCCUGAACCCCUGAGCUGUGUGAUAGUGGUGUGGUGUAAAGUAGAAAAGAAAUCUUGCCAUGAAAUUCAUUAGUGUCCAGAAACUGACAAAGAUCCAAUACAGAAGACUCACUAGAAGAAGUAAACAAUAUACACAAAUUAAUAUCACCUUGCAGGAAAGUACUGAACCCAGAAAAAUGCUUAGACCAGACAAGUAGCACACAAGACUGGCUGGGGAAACAGACAGUAUUUAUCCACACUAUGUGACUUCAGAUACACCAAGUCGCAUAAAUAUAACCUGCCUCAACUCAAAUUUUUUUUAACUUUUAUUUAGUAAAUAUAAAUUUCCAAAGUACAUUUUAUGCAUUACAAUGGCUUCCCCCCAUAAUUUCCCUCUCACUCGCACCCCUCCCAUCUCCUGCUCCCUCUCCCAUUCCAUUCACAUCAAGAUUCAUUUUCAAUUAUCUUUAUAUACAGAAGAUCGAUUCAGUAUACAUUAAGUAAAGAUUUCAUCAGUUUGCACCCACACAGAAACACAAAGUGUAAAAUACUGUUUCAGUACUAGUUAUAGCAUUACUUCACAUUGGACAACACAUUAAGGACAGAUCCCACAUGAGAAGUAAGUACACAGUGACUCCUGUUGUUGACUUAACAAUUUGACACUCUUGUUUAUGGUGUCAGUAAUCUCCCUAGGCUCUAGUCAUGAGUUGCCAAGGCUAUGGAGGCCUUUUGAGUUCACCAGUUUCGAUCUUAUUCAGACAGGGUCAUAGCCAAAGUGGAAGUUCUCUCCUCCAUUCAGAGAAAGGUACCUCCUUCUUUGAUGGCCCCAUUCUUUCCACUGGGAUCUCACUCACAGAGAUCUUUCAUUUAGGUUUUUUUUUCCAGGGUGUCUUGGCUUUCCAUGCCUGAAAUACUCUCAUGGGCUCUUCAGACAGAUCCGAAUGCAUUACGGGCUGAUUCUGAGGCCAGAGUGCAGUUUAGGACAUCUGCCAUUCUAUGAGUCUACUGUGUAUCCCGCUUCCCAUGUUGGAUCAUUCUCUCCCUUUUUGAUUCUAUCAGUUAGUAUUAGCAGACACUAGUCUUGUUUGUGUGAUUCCUUUGACUCUUAGACCUAUCAGUGUGAUCAAUUGUGAACUGAAAUUGAUCACUUUGACUAGUGAGAUGGCAUUGGUACAUGCCACCUUGAUGGGAUUGAAUUGGAAUCCCCUGGCACAUUUCUAUCUCCACCAUUUGGGGCAAGUCCAAUUGAGCAUGUCCUGAACUGUACAUUUC